rfam:Corchorus olitorius cultivar O-4 contig22241, whole genome shotgun sequence.
GGAGGCUUAUGAUGCUUUAAUAACUGCCUACAUUGUCCGACUGUUUUCUGAGAGAAAUGAAUUUGUUCUAAAGCCUAC